AUACGGAGGGUGCGAGCGUUGUUCGGAAUUAUUGGGCUUAAAGAGCGUGUAGGCGGAGCGCAGGGUGUUGAGUGGAAGCCCCGGUCUCAAACCGGGAAUGGCUUGGCAAACCGGCGCUCUUGAGGCAGGUAGAGGUGACUGGAACGACUGGUGGAGCGGUGAAAUGCGUAGAUAUCAGUUGGAACGCCAGCGGCGAAAGCGAGUCACUGGGCCUGUCCUGACGCUGAGACGCGAAAGCGUGGGUAGCAAACAGGAUUAGAUACCCCUGUAGUCC
rnacentral:rRNA from 1 species